rnacentral:rRNA from 1 species
GACUGGCCUGGCCGGGGUCGACUUAUGCACGUCUAUAAAUGAGUGCCCUGCCCAAGCAGCAGCAGGAUCCAGAACACCUACUGCAAAGCCUCUCCAACUAGCCACAGCUGACCACACAUAGUACAUGCGUAUAACUUGAGCCAGCCAGCCAAAGCAACGAUUAUGGCGUCCAUGGCGAGAGCUGCCCGCCUCCUGCUGGUCGCGCUGCUGGUCAUCUCCGCGGCGGUCACCGGCUGCCAUGGCUACAGCAUCGGUGGACCGGGGUUAAUCCCCGAACCACGGAGCGGGCAUGGAAGACCCUUUGAUCCUUUAUACCCACGUCCAUGCCGCGGACUGAGAUGCCGGACGCUGCCGCCACGCGGCCGCGGUGGCGCACCCUACCCCUAUGGCGGUCCUCCUCCCCCUCCCCCUCCCCCGGACAACGGAGGACAGCCUUGAUGCUUGGCAUGCAUGCAAGAAAGCUACGACCUCUCACCGAACUGAUACUAAUACAUGGAAUAAGACUAAAGUUUGGUGUUUUCCCUAAUACGUGUCAUGUAUACAUGGAACAAGAAAGCUAUUACAUGGAAUAAGACUUGAGAGUGGUUUUUCUAGCGGUACGGUUUCUACCGGGUAUUCACACACCACACAAUCGUGGUCCGAGAUUAUGGUCAACAUAGUGAUAGUGCAUUAUACGUAUUUCGAUGGGCAGUACAUAAUCUCAACCCAUGUGUACAUCUGUACAUGUACGAAACAGUAGUAAUACCAUGUGGGGCUCAUGUGUGAGCCAUGCUUCACCCAUAUCUCCGCUGGGCGCUGGCUGUCCUGUCCUGUGACCUAAAUCGAUAUAUGCGGCCGUCCUCUACGC